CAAGGCCAUUCCAACAGUUCUCCAGCACAUUGGUACUCUGAGCACCCACUGGGCAGGGAAUUGCAAGACAACUCCAUUCAACCUCUGGAGAUUGUGCAACUUGUGGUGAUGGCAUGUCCUAGUGAUAGGAUCACGUAGGGUACAACCACAUGUUCAGGAUUCUGCAUGCAAUUUUGGAAACCAAAAUCAGGAGUGGAUCUUAAAAAGAUAGAACCUAUACAGGAUAAAUACAAAGUCUCUCUCAAUUUACUUCUGGUUUUGGCUUCUAAAACUGCAUCCAAAAACCUGACCAUGUGGCCAUACCCUUUCUAUGGUAGGC